rnacentral:rRNA from 1 species
CACGAACCGUACGAACGUUAUUCGGAAUUACUGGGCUUAAAGGGUGCGUAGGCGGCUCAGAAAGUUGGGUGUGAAAGCCCUCGGCUUAACCGAGGAACAGCGCCCAAAACUACUGGGCUCGAGGAAGACAGAGGUGAGCGGAACUACGGGUGGAGCGGUGAAAUGCGUUGAUAUCCGUAGGAACACCAGGGGCGAAAGCGGCUCACUGGGUCUUUUCUGACGCUGAGGCACGAAAGCCAGGGGAGCGAACGGGAUUAGAUACCCCGGUAGUCCUGGCCGUAAACGAUGAGCACUAGAUCGAAGGGUACUCCAUAGCCUUUUGGUCGUAGCGAAAGUGUUAAGUGCUCCGCCUGGGGAUUAUGGUCGCAAGGCUGAA